GGGACUUAAGUUUUCCGCCGAUGUUCUCCCAUCUUAAACAUAUUAGUCUCCGCCGUCUUUACGUACUGUCAAAUGUUAUCGCUUAAAGCGACAGGAAAUUCGCCGAAAUCCGAGCAAGAACUAACAAUUGCAGUGAAGAGAUCAGGUAGAAUGUUGAAGGAGUGGUGUCACUUUUAUUCGAUAACGGAGGUGGGAACACAUUUACUUAGCACUUAAGUACUUAGCACGCACAGAUUUAUAGUAAACAUGUACUCCAUUUGACCUUUGAGAAAGCGGGAUUUGGUUGCAGGAUUAAAAACUGCUAAGAGGCUAUGCAGUGCACUAAUUAUGAAGUUUCGGAACAGAUCCCAUGUUCGUUUUAUCAAUAUGUAAGUAUGGCCAAGCUGGAAACAGAAAUGUUGUGAUAUAGAACGCGCACACACCCGCACGACAUACAUACACCCUUGUACUUCCACUCAACGGAUCCACAUUUUCCACAUCCACGUCUGGCACGCACAUACACUCUCCCGCGCGGUGGAUACAUACCUUUGUAUUUCCGCUUUGAUAUACACUCUUUCUUGCACUCAAACUCAACUCACACAGACAUACACGCCCACUCAUCUCCAAUAGAAGAACGGGAAAACAGUAUAAGCCGAUGGCAGAGCCAGUGGGAUGCCACAGAGAAGGGUAUGGUAGAACGCAUUCUCUCAUUCACAUGAUGGACUAUUAUCUAAAGAAGACGUUGUCAGGACACGGCUGCUGUCGAGCACUUUAAGCACUAUGAAUCUCCGGAGUCUCCGUAUUGCCCAGGAGUUAUUGAAGAUGCAGAGCACCUUUUCUUCGAGUGCCCACGAGACGAACUGGAGACAACCCUGACACGCACAAUUCGACCAGAGACAGUAGUAGAAGAGAUGUAAUCAGAAGCUACUUCGAACGCCAACAGCGAGUACGUAACUGAAGUCCUCACAGAUUUGAGAUCCAUGGAAAGAAGAAAAAGAACGCCAAUUAGAAGAGAUGGAAGCGACCAGAAGGAAGAGCAGUAGCUAUAUCCUCACCCCCACGAAGUAAUGCCUAGCGACCGAUAUUGUGGGAAUCAGAAGUCGGAGGACAGAGGACAGAUAAGCCUGUUCAUAUGUAAAUGAUUUUCCUUGUCUGUACAGAAAGAAAAACACGCACCCUUUUUUGCACUCACACUUUCACCUAUAGUCGUACUCGCAAGUUUCAGAAUUGUAAGCACGUGAAGGACAUCUGUGUAAGAUUCAGAGCUCCAAAGGGCGCGGCCGCCGUUCAAAGAUCACUUGUACAAUACUUGCUUGUUAGAGCAAACCUCCACGCCGGUAUCAACAUCUUGGAGGCAGAAUAUUUGUAACCGAACGAGUUAUGAAGAUCUGGGGGCCCUAGAGCAUCUGCUGAUCCGGUUCGAUUUUGCGUCCAAGACAGAAAAACGGCAGGCACCAAACUCGGG